GAAGCACAGUGAACCACGAAGCACACGUGCUCAGCUCUGGGAGUCAUCAGACCUUCGGCUCAGGCUUGCAUUUCAGAGAGGGAAAUGUAAAGCCUGGUUUGGCAGAGAAGAGGCUGUGAGCAACGGGGGUCUGUGGAAAACUGUGACGCAGCUGGGGAAGGAGAUUGAAAGAGUUCUUCCAAGGUGCACAAUGAGAGAGAGGGGCCGUCGAGGAGGAGACAGCCUUGCGGGAUCUCAAGAGCCAAACUGUAUAAGCAGUAUGUGAGGAUGGACAACAGUCUGGUUGCGUGUUGUGACAGGUAUAACUCGCAGUAUUUCCUUUAGUGGGUGAUUUGCGACUCCCUCGAGAGAGAAGCCUGCGUCUGGAAGAGAGAUGAAAUGGCAGCAGCUGCUGCAGCAGGGAUGAUGGUACAUGGAGUGCACAACAGAGGAGGAACCCUGUGCUGCAGAGGGCUUUAUCUCUCUGAUCUCAGCCUUCUCCGCGUCUGCGAGUUGUUUCUAGGAGUCCUGGCCCAAGAGCUCCGUUUCCAGGAAACGACAUGAUGUUAUCAGCCACCCUCAUCGGAGGCUCCAUUUUGAGCAGCGAGACGUUGCAGCGACCUCGGUCUAGAAGCACAUGUUUCAAAUCCAAUUUCUAGUGGAAGCAGAUAACAGGGAGGAAGGAGAUAAGGACAAGCCGGCCAAUUCAGCUGGCCCAGCUGCCUCGCUCUGUUCAGCUGGACUCCUUGGAAGGGCCAGACUCCAGCAGGAAGAGUGAGUUUGGG
rnacentral:lncRNA from 1 species